rnacentral:rRNA from 1 species
GACGAACGCUGGCGGCGUGCUUAACACAUGCAAGUCGAACGGAAAGGCCCUGCUUUUGUGGGGUGCUCGAGUGGCGAACGGGUGAGUAACACGUGAGUAACCUGCCCUUGACUUUGGGAUAACUUCAGGAAACUGGGGCUAAUACCGGAUAGGAGCUCCUGCUGCAUGGUGGGGGUUGGAAAGUUUCGGCGGUUGGGGAUGGACUCGCGGCUUAUCAGCUUGUUGGUGGGGUAGUGGCUUACCAAGGCUUUGACGGGUAGCCGGCCUGAGAGGGUGACCGGCCACAGUGGGACUGAGAUACGGCCCAGACUCCUACGGGAGGCAGCAGUGGGGAAUAUUGCACAAUGGGCGGAAGCCCGAUGCAGCAACGCCGCGUGCGGGAUGACGGCCUUCGGGUUGUAAACCGCUUUCGCCUGUGACGAAGCGUGAGUGACGGUAAUGGGUAAAGAAGCACCGGCUAACUACGU